CCCCGGCGUCCCUUCUCGCCCGGACUUCCCGGCGGGCGGGCGGGCACCCUUGCCCGGGUCGCCGGAGCCUGGCUGCAGCCUGAUCGGUGUUCACUUUGUGCAAAAGUCCGUUUUUAAAUGAAUAACGAUGGAGUUCAAGUAUCAGCGACUAGUGAAUCCAGGUGCGUGUGGAGCCAGUUUGGGGCAGGAGGAAAAGUCUCAUCCUAGAAAGCAAGUUGGAGUCCUGCCUUGGCACGGAGCCAGUUGGUGUUUGGGAUUUUUCAAGAUUGCUCCCAAGCAGCCUCACAACUCUUGACUUUUGGAGGAGGUUCAGAGGUGCACUGGCAGAAGCGAUGCCUGGAGUGUGGAUGGCAGAAGACAAAGAAUGACCAGUCACAGCUGAUGUCAGGCAGAAGAUUGCCCAAGGAGCUGACUCAAGAAAUGAAAAUAUGAUACAAUUUACUGACCACAAACCAGCAGAAUGCUCCAGAUGACCUGGGAGUUCUAAAUGUGAAAUUGCUUCUAAAAAAAUAUGUAACACAUUACUAAGAUCAGCCAGAGUAUCAAAAUAUUGGGAAACAUCCUGCCAGUUUGAACAAAAAGGCAGUCCAAUGAAUUGCAGGCUAAUUCUGGGUACAUUUGAAAUUAGGAAUGACUCUAUAGACAUGAACUUAAUUUUUUUUUUCAAGUUACUCAUCAAAAGACUGCUGGACAUCAGCCAAAGAAAUCAAAAUCAUGAAUUGCUCUUUAAGCAAGAACUCCAGGAAAGGCACACUCAUUCCAGCCAGACUGCAUGGAAAUGCCAGCCCCUUCCUCCCCACUUCUUUCCAGCCCAAAGAAUGAACCUGCUUCCUCUCCCGGGGCUGAUUCUUGCAGGCCGAAACGGUGCAUCCUGGGGCAACCAUUUUUGAAGCCAGGUGCCUGAAAUGGGCUCACUUAAAAAAUGCGCCCAAAAUCCAUGAUUCCCGGGGGAUUGAAAUUUGGCAAAGUUGUGGCCGCUUCAGCACCACCGCACUGCCGUGGUCAAUCACAGUUAUGUGAUUGUCCUUUCUGAUGCUCCCGGCCUGCUUCCCACAAGUCAAUAGGGAAGCUGGCAGGAAGUCUGAACUCUUCUGAAGUGAUGACCACACUGUACAGCAUUGUGGUAAAAAAAUUUAAAAAGUAAAAAUAAGAAAAAUACAAAUAAAAAUUUAAAAAGAUAUUUUCAGCUUAAUUGUACCAUGUGGAAAGAGGGGGACAUCGUGGUCAACAGAUUACACCAAACAUUGUCAGGAAGCGGCAAGGAAGAAGGGAGAACAAGAAACGGGUGAAGCCAGGGCCGCACAACCCCAGGAUCAAAGAGUCAGGACCAAGAGUCAUGAGAAAGAAGAGAGAGGCACGUCUCCAAAAUGACAAGAGGCACAGAAGAGAAAUGCAUGUCUCCAAGAUCAGAGACAACAAAUAGCAAAAGUUAUGAACAAAUGGAGGAUGAAAGGGCACGGCAUAAUAUUUCUGCUGAUGUUGGUGUGAUGGCCAAAGUCUGCCGUCCUGUCAUGCUUUCCUGUUCCUGUUCCCUAGAGAAACCGCCAAUUUCUGCUGUAUGAAGGGAAAGGUCAGGAUAGAUAAUUUGCAACCUCUGCAUUAAGGCACGCUAAAUGCAAGCUGCUUAAAGUACCGUACAUCGAUGAUUUGCCACUGGCCCAUCCGAUAAUGAACUCAAUUUAUAAAGCAAUGAUGAACCUAUUGCAAACAAGUUCAGGAAGAACAUCAGACCGUACAACUCCCUCUUCCAAAUGACAUCCUUUGGUGCCAAAGGAGUCCUUCCAACAAGGAAUGGGUGGAAUCCUGUGAUUAUUCAAGGGCAAAUCCAUCAAGGCUUUAAUCUUCCAAGGCAUGCAGUGGAAUGCGGAUGAUCGUGGAAGAACUUCACAAGAAUCUCAUUGUAGCAAAGAUAAACAUUUGUCCAUUCAAAAAAUGAUAUCGUCAUGAUUCCAGGAGUUACACUCAAUUUUUCAGAAGGUGAAGAUGCCCCUCUUCAGUUCCUAAUGGCAUAAAGCACAAAUCGUGGAGAAUAUGCUGAUUCAGCUGGAGAAACCAGUAUUCCAGCACGGUCACCAGCUGCAGGAAUUUUACAUUGGUUCAGACCUUGAACAACAUGUUCUGUACAGGUACGUGACCCUGGUGUGUGAAGGAGCUGAAUGUGGACUUAGCAAGAAAUCCACAUAUUUGUCAUAGCCUAGCGGCAAACAGAACCUAUGACCCAUUGAUGAACAGAGAUUUUACUGCGACUGACAACAGGUAUCGGGGAAUUGGUCUAAGUGAUUCAAAAGUACACACAAACAAAACAUAACCUGAAUUUUCUUUGCUUGUUUCCAAGACACUGGUUUUCUGGCAUAUUGUCUCAUUGGCCCUUUUGCUGGGUUUGAAUGAGAAAUGGGGCAGUUCUUUAUGCAGAAGGACUGUGCCCCUGAACCACCCCAGAAAUAAACUAAUGUUAUUGCCAACAUCCGCUCCUGUAAUGCCUUUAGAGAUUCCACCAAGAGGGAUGCCACCAGCAGCCAAUUCUCCCAUUCGGUACGCAGACGCAGCUCUUGCCAACCAAACUUGAUCAAAGUUCUCCCAGGCCUCUGGCACAGUUUGACUGAGGAGAACAACACACACAGGAGAGAUCCAAGUGUGCGGCAAAAGGAAAGAGGGUGGAAGGGAGAAGGAAAAAACAGACUCAGGUACUAGUUUAUUUCCAGGAACCAUCACUUCCAGUUCU